rnacentral:rRNA from 1 species
GAUGAACGCUGGCGGCGUGCCUAAUACAUGCAAGUCGAGCGAACGGACGAGAAGCUUGCUUCUCUGAUGUUAGCGGCGGACGGGUGAGUAACACGUGGAUAACCUACCUAUAAGACUGGGAUAACUUCGGGAAACCGGAGCUAAUACCGGAUAAUAUUUUGAACCGCAUGGUUCAAAAGUGAAAGACGGUCUUGCUGUCACUUAUAGAUGGAUCCGCGCUGCAUUAGCUAGUUGGUAAGGUAACGGCUUACCAAGGCAACGAUGCAUAGCCGACCUGGGAGGGUGAUCGGCCACACUGGAACUGAGACACGGUCCAGACUCCUACGGGAGGCAGCAGUAGGGAAUCUUCCGCAAUGGGCGAAAGCCUGACGGAGCAACGCCGCGUGAGUGAUGAAGGUCUUCGGAUCGUAAAACUCUGUUAUUAGGGAAGAACAUAUGUGUAAGUAACUGUGCACAUCUUGACGGUACCUAAUCAGAAAGCCACGGCCAACUACGUG